GCAUACUGAAAAUUAGAUCCUCCUGCCUUCCUCCCUACUUGCUUUUGGCCGCCACAAUUCUCUAUAUAUGCCUUGCCCAUCACUGCCCAAUUUUCAUCUCAUUUCAUUUCAAUAUUUCUCUUUGUAAUUGUGGUAACAUAUCAACUCUUGAAAGAUUGUUUUAUUUGUUGAAAAAUGGCAAGUAAUUUGAUGCUCACGGGGUUGUUAAAACAUGUUGCUGAAAAAUUCCCUACCCGCCGUGCGAUAUGUGUUUCAGGAAAAUUGGAUGUGACACAUGCAAGGCUUCAUCAACUUAUUGAACAAGCCGCUUCUCAACUUGUUGCUGCCGGUGUUAAGCCCCGUGAUGUCGUCGCUCUUACCUUUCCCAACACUAUCGAGUUUGUGAUUAUGUUUCUUGCUGUGAUUCGAGUUCGAGCCACAGCAGCGCCACUAAAUGCAGCAUACAUGCCUGAAGAAUUCGAGUUUUAUUUAUCAGAUUCCGAGUCCAAAAUCUUGUUAAUUGCAAAAGAAGGAAAUGAGGCAGCUCAAGCAGCAGCGACAAAGCUUAAUAUCCCUCAAAUUACUGUUACUCUACCCCAAUCAGACUCUGAUAUCUCUCUCAUCCCGAGUAGUCCGCUGUCUGAUUCUGAUUCUAUAUCCAAUAUCGUUAACGAACCAUCCGAUGUUGCACUUUUCUUACAUACUUCAGGCACCACAAGUCGACCAAAGGGUGUCCCCCUGACACAACACAAUUUGGCAUCAUCGGUGAACAAUAUCAAAUCUGUUUACAAACUCACUGAAUCAGACUCUACGGUCAUUGUGUUGCCACUCUUUCAUGUUCAUGGAUUAAUUGCAGGAUCACUGAGCUCACUCGGUGCUGGAGGAUCCGUGACGCUCCCUGCUUCAGGGAGAUUCUCCGCUUCAUCUUUCUGGUCGGACAUGAUCAAGUACAACGCCACGUGGUACACUGCGGUCCCUACCAUUCAUCAAAUCCUACUGGACCGCCAUUUCACCAAUCCCGAGCCUGCUUACCCGAAACUCCGGUUCAUUAGGAGUUGCAGUGCUGCAUUAGCACCAUCCGUAUUGGCAAGGCUAGAAGAAGCAUUUGGUGCCCCUGUUUUAGAGGCAUAUGCAAUGACAGAAGCCACACAUUUGAUGUGCUCAAAUCCAUUGCCCGAAAACGGGCCACAUUUACCGGGCUCAGUAGGGAAGCCUGUGGGCCAAGAAAUGGCGAUAUUGGAUGAGAGUGGUGUGGUACAAGGGCCUGAUGCAAAGGGAGAAAUUUGCAUUAGGGGUGAAAAUGUUACUAAGGGGUAUAAAAAUAAUCCUGAGGCUAAUAAAUCUGCUUUCCAGUUUGGUUGGUUUCACACUGGAGAUGUGGGAUACUUGGACUCUGAUGGAUAUUUGCAUUUGGUUGGAAGGAUCAAGGAGUUGAUCAACCGUGGAGGGGAAAAAAUAUCACCUAUUGAAGUGGAUGCUGUUCUUGUUUCUCAUCCAGAGAUUGCUCAAGCUGUUGCUUUUGGAGUUCCUGAUGACAAGUAUGGUGAAGAGAUAAACUGCGCAGUUAUUCCAAGAGAAGGGACAAAGAUCGAUGAAGAAGAGGUGUUGAGAUUCUGCAAGAAAAAUCUGGCAGCCUUUAAGGUCCCCAAAAGGGUAUUCAUGACUGAUUCUCUUCCAAAAACUGCAACUGGAAAAAUUCAACGACGACUAGUGGCAGAGCACUUUCUUGCACAGAUCUCAACUGCUAAAGUGCCCAAGUUCGGAGCUUGAAAAAAUAUACCGGGGUUUCUCAAGUACCUUAAGCAGAUGAAUUGUUAUAAUAGUAACAUAUAUGCCUUGUGCUCUUAAUGACAUAAGUACCUGAACAAGAAUCGGAGAAUCACUGCCUCCCGAUUAGUAAAUUGUCUUUCCUCUAAAAAGAUUGUUAGUAGAUACUUUUGGGGCUUUUUUUUUUUUUUUUUAAAGGUUAUCAUUUUUGGUAGAAGCAUUAAAAGUUUUCUUCCUUGUAUAAGUGGCUAUUAAAAGAGUAAUAUUUUUACAA